ACAUGCAAGUCGAACGGAGUAAUUCCUCGGGGAUAACUAGUGGCGACGGGUGAGUAACACGUGAGCAACCUGCCUUCAAGCGAGGAAUAAUGAGUGGAAACGCUCUGUAAUACCUCAUAACGAUUUUUACCGCAUGAUAGGAAUACCAAAGAUUUAUCACUUGAAGAUGGGCUCGCGUCCGAUUAGCUAGUUGGUGAGGUAACGGCUCACCAAGGCGACGAUCGGUAGCCGUACUGAGAGGUAGAUCGGCCACAUUGGGACUGAGACACGGCCCAGACUCCUACGGGAGGCAGCAGUGGGGAAUAUUGCACAAUGGAGGAAACUCUGAUGCAGCCGAUGCCGCGUGAGCGAAGAAGGCCUUUUGGUUGUAAAGCUCUGUUAUCAGGGACGAAAAUGACGGUACCUGAGGAGGAAGCUCCGGCUAACUACGUGCCAGCAGCUGC
rnacentral:rRNA from 1 species